GUGGGGAAUAUUGGACAAUGGGCGAAAGCCUGAUCCAGCCAUGCCGCGUGUGUGAAGAAGGUCUUCGGAUUGUAAAGCACUUUAAGUUGGGAGGAAGGGCAGUAAGUUAAUACCUUGCUGUUCUGACGUUACCGACAGAAUAAGCACCGGCUAACUUCGUGCCAGCAGCCGCGGUAAUACGAAGGGUGCAAGCGUUAAUCGGAAUUACUGGGCGUAAAGCGCGCGUAGGUGGUUUUGUAAGUUGGAGGUGAAAUCCCCGGGCUCAACCUGGGAACUGCCUCCAAAACUGCAUGACUAGAGUACGGUAGAGGGUAGUGGAAUUUCCUGUGUAGCGGUGAAAUGCGUAGAUAUAGGAAGGAACACCAGUGGCGAAGGCGACUACCUGGACUGAUACUGACACUGAGGUGCGAAAGCGUGGGGAGCAAACAGGAUUAGAUACCCCAGUAGUCC
rnacentral:rRNA from 1 species